UACGAAGGGGGCUAGCGUUGUUCGGAAUUACUGGGCGUAAAGCGCACGUAGGCGGAUUGUUAAGUUAGGGGUGAAAUCCCGGGGCUCAACCCCGGAGCCGCCUUUGAUACUGAGGAUCUUGAGUUCGGGAGAGGUGAGUGGAAUUCCGAGUGUAGAGGUGAAAUUCGUAGAUAUUCGGAGGAACACCAGUGGCGAAGGCGGCUCACUGGUCCGGUACUGACGCUGAGGCGCGAAAGCGUGGGGAGCAAACAGG
rnacentral:rRNA from 1 species